rnacentral:rRNA from 1 species
UUGGAGGGCAAGUCUGGUGCCAGCAGCCGCGGUAAUUCCAGCUCCAAUAGCGUAUAUUAAAGUUGUUGCAGUUAAAAAGCUCGUAGUUGAAUUUCGAGAUCAAUUUGUCGGUCGUGCCUCGGUAUGUACUGGCAUUAUUGAUUUCUCCCUUCUGAAGAACAGCGAUGUCAUUAAUUUGGUGUCGUGGGGAAUCAGGACUGUUACUUUGAAAAAAUUAGAGUGUUUAAAGCAGGCGCACGCUUGAAUACAUUAGCAUGGAAUAAUGAAAUAGGACGUUUGGUUCUAUUUUGUAGGUUUCUAGGAUCGACGUAACGAUUAAUAGGGAUAGUUGGGGGCAUUAGUAUUCAAUUGUCAGAGGUGAAAUUCUUGGAUUUAUUGAAGACUAACUACUGCGAAAGCAUUUGCCAAGGAUGUUUUCAUUAAUCAAGAACGAAAGUUAGGGGAUCGAAGACGAUCAGAUACCGUCGUAGUCUUAACCAUAAACUAUGCCGACUAGGGAUCGGAUGAUGUUAAUUUUUUAAUGACUCAUUCGGCGCCUUACGGGAAACCWAAGUGUUUGGGUUC